rnacentral:rRNA from 1 species
AGAGUUUGAUCCUGGCUCAGGAUGAACGCUAGCGACAGGCUUAACACAUGCAAGUCGAGGGGCAGCGAGGGACUUCGGUUCUGUCGGCGACCGGCGCACGGGUGAGUAACGCGUAUGUAACCUACCUAUAAUAGGGGAAUAACCCGGUGAAAACCGGACUAAUACCCCAUAGUCCUUUAUUCUCACAUGAGAUAAAAGGUAAAGAGUGAGUUAAAUCAUAUCGAUUAUAGAUGGACAUGCGUGGCAUUAGACAGUUGGUGAGGUAACGGCUCACCAAAUCAUCGAUGCCUAGGGGUUCUGAGAGGAAGACCCCCCACAUUGGUACUGAGACACGGACCAAACUUCUACGGGAGGCAGCAGUGAGGAAUAUUGGUCAAUGGGCGAGAGCCUGAACCAGCCAAGUCGCGUGAAGGACGACGGCCCUAUGGGUUGUAAACUUCUUUUAAACAGGAACAACGACCACCUUGUAAGGUGGAGUGAGUGUACUGUUCGAAUAAGCAUCGGCUAACUCCGUGCCAGCAGCCGCGGUAAUACGGAGGAUGCAAGCGUUAUCCGGAUUUAUUGGGUUUAAAGGGUGCGCAGGCGGACUUUUAAGUCAGCGGUGAAAGUCAGUGGCUCAACCACUGAAUUGCCAUUGAAACUGGGGGUCUUGAGUAUGGUUGAGGCAGGCGGAACGAGUGGUGUAGCGGUGAAAUGCAUAGAUAUCACUCAGAACACCGAUAGCGAAGGCAGCUUGCCAAGCCAAAACUGACGCUGAGGCACGAAAGCGUGGGUAUCGAACAGGAUUAGAUACCCUGGUAGUCCACGCUGUAAACGAUGAUGACUAGCUGUUUGCGAUACACAGUAAGCGGCUGAGCGAAAGCGUUAAGUCAUCCACCUGGGGAGUACGCCGGCAACGGUGAAACUCAAAGGAAUUGACGGGGGCCCGCACAAGCGGAGGAACAUGUGGUUUAAUUCGAUGAUACGCGAGGAACCUUACCCGGGUUUGAACGUAGGAGGACAGGGAGAGAGAUCUCUUUUCUAGCAAUAGUCUCUUACGAGGUGCUGCAUGGUUGUCGUCAGCUCGUGCCGUGAGGUGUCGGCUUAAGUGCCAUAACGAGCGCAACCCCUAUUGUUAGUUGCCAUCAGGUGAUGCUGGGCACUCUAGCGAGACUGCCAGCGCAAGCUGUGAGGAAGGCGGGGAUGACGUCAAAUCAGCACGGCCCUUACAUCCGGGGCGACACACGUGUUACAAUGGCGGGGACAGCGGGGUCUUAGGCGACUAAGACAGAAUCCCGAAACCCCGUCUCAGUUCGGAUAGGAGUCUGCAACCCGACUCCUUGAAGCUGGAUUCGCUAGUAAUCGCGCAUCAGCCAUGGCGCGGUGAAUACGUUCCCGGGCCUUGUACACACCGCCCGUCAAGCCAUGGAAGCUGGGGGCGCCUGAAGUCCGUAACCGCAAGGAUCGGCCUAGGGCGAUACUAGUAACUGGGGCUAAGUCGUAACAAGGUA